rnacentral:rRNA from 1 species
UACGUAGGGGGCAAGCGUUGUCCGGAAUUAUUGGGCGUAAAGAGCGUGUAGGCGGCCAGAUAAGUCCGCUGUGAAAUCUCGAGGCUCAACUUCGAGCUGUCGGUGGAAACCAUCUGGCUAGAGUCCGGAAGAGGAGAGUGGAAUUCCUGGUGUAGCGGUGAAAUGCGCAGAUAUCAGGAAGAACACCCGUGGCGAAGGCGGCUCUCUGGGACGGUACUGACGCUGAGACGCGAAAGCGUGGGGAGCGAACGGG